AGGGCGCCUGAAGGAUUGGCGAGGGCGCUGUCUCCGAGUUUGCUGACGAGGUUGGAACGUGGAAGACGAUUGAGGUUGUCAAGGAUCUCGUCUGUCUUCUCGUCAAACAGACCAGCGCCAUCUAAAGGAUCUAAGCAAAUCUACCACUGCCACAUGGAGGCUUUCCGGAACAUGACUUUUUUAACAAUCAAAUUCAGCUAAUUGUGCUGCUUUGCAUGGCAUCAAAACUCCGCUGACUGAAGUGACUUCCUGUCUGCCCAAUAGCAAAGUAGUAAGACUGGCCCUGUCCAAAACUGCAUACAAUUAAGCAUAAGUGUUGAAAGUAUUGUAACACGAAAGGAACAGUUCCAUACAUUGUGAAUGCUGAAAACAAUCUAGUUAAGAUAAAUCAUGAUGAAUGAGUCCUAAUCCAAUACCAUUGGUUUUAAAAACACUCUCAACUACCCAAUUGCUUUUUUUGUG